AGCAGUGGGGAAUAUUGCACAAUGGGCGGAAGCCUGAUGCAGCAACGCCGCGUGCGGGAUGACGGCCUUCGGGUUGUAAACCGCUUUCGCCUGUGACGAAGCGUGAGUGACGGUAAUGGGUAAAGAAGCACCGGCUAACUACGUGCCAGCAGCCGCGGUGAUACGUAGGGUGCGAGCGUUGUCCGGAUUUAUUGGGCGUAAAGGGCUCGUAGGUGGUUGAUCGCGUCGGAAGUGUAAUCUUGGGGCUUAACCCUGAGCGUGCUUUCGAUACGGGUUGACUUGAGGAAGGUAGGGGAGAAUGGAAUUCCUGGUGGAGCGGUGGAAUGCGCAGAUAUCAGGAGGAACACCAGUGGCGAAGGCGGUUCUCUGGGCCUUUCCUGACGCUGAGGAGCGAAAGCGUGGGGAGCGAACAGGCUUAGAUACCCUGGUAGUCCACGCUGUAAACGGUGGGUACUAGGUGUGGGGUCCAUUCCACGGGUUCCG
rnacentral:rRNA from 1 species